UACGGAGGGGGCUAGCGUUGUUCGGAAUUACUGGGCGUAAAGCGCACGUAGGCGGCUUUGUAAGUUAGAGGUGAAAGCCCGGGGCUCAACCCCGGAAUUGCCUUUAAGACUGCAUCGCUUGAACGUCGGAGAGGUGAGUGGAAUUCCGAGUGUAGAGGCGAAAUUCGUAGAUAUUCGGAAGAACACCAGUGGCGAAGGCGGCUCACUGGACGACUGUUGACGCUGAGGUGCGAAAGCGUGGGGAGCAAACAGG
rnacentral:rRNA from 1 species